rnacentral:rRNA from 1 species
UACGUAGGGGGCAAGCGUUGUCCGGAAUCAUUGGGCGUAAAGAGCGUGUAGGCGGUUUUGUAAGACUGUCGUGAAAUCCCCGGGCUUAACCUGGGAACUGCGUUUGAAACUGGGAGACUUGAGUGUGGCAGAGGGGGGUGGAAUUCCACGUGUAGCAGUGAAAUGCGUAGAUAUGUGGAGGAACACCAAUGGCGAAGGCAGCCCCCUGGGUCAACACUGACGCUCAUGCACGAAAGCGUGGGGAGCAAACAGG